AUGGAGAGGACCUUCUGGAGCUCAGCCGCAAUGAGGCGCUGGCGAUGGCUUGGUCACGUGCAGAGCAGGAAGACCUUGUGGACAUUGCGACCGACAUGAAUGAAGUGAUAGUUGCGGCACUGGCUUCGGACUUGC
rnacentral:rRNA from 1 species